UACGAAGGGGGCUAGCGUUGCUCGGAAUCACUGGGCGUAAAGGGUGCGUAGGCGGGUCUUUAAGUCAGGGGUGAAAUCCUGGGAGCUCAACUCCAGAACUGCCUUUGAUACUGAGGAUCUUGAGUUCGGGAGAGGUGAGUGGAACUGCGAGUGUAGAGGUGAAAUUCGUAGAUAUUCGCAAGAACACCAGUGGCGAAGGCGGCUCACUGGCCCGAUACUGACGCUGAGGCACGAAAGCGUGGGGAGCAAACAGGG
rnacentral:rRNA from 1 species